AAUUAGCAAACCUUUUAGAAUAAAAAGCAAUUUACAAAGUACUCUUAUGGAGGCUUGUGUAGUAUUAAACACACACUGUAAAUAGGUUAAAAUGUGGCACUGUGUUCUUUAAAAGGCUGACAUUUGUCUUUUGAAUGUUCAUAAUCUUGAUUUACAAACUGAUAGAUGGGGCAAAACUAUUUUUUUUUUUGCAUAAUAUGGGUACAAGUCAUUCAAGAAGGAUCAAAGUUAUAAAUACUGUGGAUUUUGUUCUCAGGAAAUUUGGAAGAUUUUGAUUAAAAUUUAAAACAUCAAUAAUUUGCAUUGUAGAAAUGGUUUUAAAACUAUAAAUGGCAUUUAAGAGCUUUAAACUAGCACAAGGACUCAUGAAAAAUCUGUAUUUGGCAUUAUUUUCCUGUUCUGUUUGUAUAGACUUAAUUAUUCACUGGAUAAUGAUACAAAAGGGAACAAGGCUGACUAGAUUCUUUUGGCCUUACUAUUUCCACUUUUGGAAUUUCUUAUUUUUGCACACUGUUACAACUUCAAAAGGAAUGAGGCUAUAUACAAUAACAAUUCAGUAUCUUGUGCCUAAGUUUUCAUUUUCAUAGAGUAGGCAGAGUGGCCAUAGUUACUGAGUCUUAUGAUGCUAAAUCAGGUCAGACAGACUGUUCCUUUCAUAGCCUUAUUCUAAUAAUAACCUAAAAUUGUUUCUUACAUGCUUUAAUCUACUGGCCUUGCAUUCUGUAUUAAGAGUAACAGAAUAAUUUAAACAUGCUUUGCUCAGUCAGCAGAGUUUUAACCCCUUCAUCUGUUUAUUUUUAUAACUAAAACUGAACUAGUGUCACAGUGGAUGGAAUGAGUGAGUCAAUAUUUUCCUGAUGUUUGCUGGCAAGUAUCUGCUUCAGGAGUAAUGUCCUAUAGACUAACUCAGUUGGUGAGUGAGAUGGGAUUGUGUUUCACAGAUAAAAAGGGAAAAAUUGAUAUGAUUAUUCAUUUGGUUUGGGAGAAUCUGUGCUUUUCCCUUAAAAAACAAAGUUCCAAAAGCAUCAAUUCUUAUUUUUAUUGAUAUUAUGGUACUUCUAAUACAUAAAUAUUUAAAUAAAUUUACAUAAACUAUUUUUUAAAAACUGUGUGACCCUCCCAUUUGUUAAUAAGUAAACAUAUCUGAUAAGGCAAAUUUAUAUUUUUAUUUAGUUUUAAGGGGUAGUUUGGGAUUACUGUGUGUGCUUUGUUAUUCAUUUUAUUUUAAUCACUGAUUAGUUUUAAACUUUUUUUUGGUUUGUUUUUUUAAAACAGGCAGAGGAUUUUAGGGAUGUGAAACAUACUUGGCUUGUUUCCAAAGUAAAAAAAAAUUAUUAUUUUUUUAAAGCCAAAGCUCCUUCUGCUGUUUUCAUUAAAAUCUCAAGAAUUGUUCACAUUGCCAGGAGCAGUUCUUUGAAAACAGUCUGAUGUUUAAUCAAGCAGUGAUAUGUGAUUUUCAAGGUCAUUUUUGUUAGGACAGAAGAGAACUCAGGAAGAUUAAUUUUCUCAAACACUGAUAAAAUUUAAAAUUGAAUAACAGUCUGAGUAGAUUUUAUUCUAGAGCUGUAAAUAUCAAAAAUUCAUACCAUUGUUUCUUAAGAAUCAUAUUUUAGAAAUUAAAUUAAUAUUUUUCUAUCUUUUUGAAAAAGUGGAUUCUUACGGAAUAAAAAUUUUAAAAAGAUAUUCCUAGCCUUGGUGCAGUGGCUCACACCUGUAAACGCAGCACUUUAGGAGGCCAAAGCAGGAGGAUCACUUGAGACCAGGAGUUCAAGACCAGCCAGGGCAACAAAGUGAGAUCCCAUCUCUGCAAACAAACAAACAAAAAAAGCUGGGUGUGAUAGUACACACCUGUAGUCCUAGCUACUCUGGAACCUGAGACCUGAGGUGGGAG
rnacentral:lncRNA from 10 species